rnacentral:rRNA from 1 species
UACGUAGGGGGCAAGCGUUGUCCGGAAUUAUUGGGCGUAAAGCGCGUGUAGGCGGCCAGAUAAGUCCGCUGUGAAAUCUCGAGGCUCAACUUCGAGCUGUCGGUGGAAACGGUCUGGCUAGAGUCCGGAAGAGGAGAAUGGAAUUCCUGGUGUAGCGGUGAAAUGCGCAGAUAUCAGGAAGAACACCCGUGGCGAAGGCGGUUCUCUGGGACGGUACUGACGCUGAGACGCGAAAGCGUGGGGAGCGAACAGG